GACGGUAGGGUAUUGGCCUACCGUGGCAAUGACGUUGGUAACGGGGAAUUAGGGUUCGAUUCCGGAGAGGGAGCNUGAGAAACGGCUACCACAUCUAAGGAAGGCAGCAGGCGNGCAAAUUACCCAAUCCUAAUACAGGGAGGUAGUGACAAGAAAUAACAAUACAGGACUUUUUGGUUUUGUAAUUGGAAUGAGUUAAGUAUAAACCCCUUUACAAGUAUCAAUUGGAGGGCAAGNUUGGUGCCAGCAGCCGCGGUAAUUCCAGCUCCAAUAGCGUAUAUUAAAGUUGUUGCAGUUAAAAAGCUCGUAGUUGGAUUUCUGUUAAUAAUUUAUAUAAAAUAUUUUGAUGAAUAUUUAUAUAAUAUUAACAUAAUUCAUAUUACUAUAUAUUUUAGUAUAUGAAAUUUUACUUUGAGAAAAUUAGAGUGCUUAAAGCAGGCAUAUGCCUUGAAUACUCCAGCAUGGAAUAAUAUUAAAGAUUUUUAUCUUUCUUAUUGGUUCUAANAUAAGAAUAAUGAUUAAUAGGGACAGUUGGGGGCNUUUGUAUUUAACAGUCAGAGGUGAAAUUCUUANAUUUGUUAAAGACAAACUAAUGCGANAGCNUUNGCCAAGGAUGUCUUCGUUAAUCAANAACGAAAGUUAGGGGAUCGAAGACGAUCANAUACCGUCGUAGUCU
rnacentral:rRNA from 1 species